AGAGCCUCUGGUGGAUGAUUUGGCGGUGGAAGGCGAUGAAGGACGUGGUAAGCUGCGAUAAGCGUGGGGGAGUUGCAAACAAACUGUGAUCCCGCGAUUUCCGAAUGGGGCAACCUGCUGGGGAGUAAUCUCCAGGAUGGGAAACUGAAUACAUAGGUUUCUUAAGCCACACGGGGGGAACUGAAACAUCUAAGUACCUCCAGGAAGAGAAAGAAAUUCGAUUUCCUGAGUAGCGGCGAGCGAAAGGGAAAUAGCCUAAACCGUAGGCAUGCAAGCCUGCAAGCGUUGUGCUUACGGUGUUGUGAGCGAGACUGUCGCCCAUUGCAGUGGGCGAGGGAAGUUACCAAACUGUUUUUUAGUCAAAGUGCCUGGAACGGCGCACCCAAGAAGGUGAUAGUCCUGUAGGCGAAAAAAAACAGUCUUCCUUGGUUUUUGCUCAAGUAUUGCCUGAUAAGUGGAACCAGGCAAGAAUCCGGGAGAACCAUCUCCUAAGGCUAAAUACUCUCCAUCGACCGAUAGUGAACAAGUACCGUAGGGGAAAAUUGAAAAGAACCCCGGUGAGGGGAGUGAAAUAGAACCUGAAACCAGAGAGCUUACAGGCGGUGGAAGGGCUAUGCACAUUCUUCGGAAUGUGAAGGCCUGACUGCGUGCCUUUUGCAUAAUGAUCCGGCGACUUAUUGGAUGCAGCGAGGUUAAUUUCUGUGAGGAAAGAAGCCGUAGCGAAAGCGAGUGCGAAACGCGCGACAAGUUGCAUUCAAUAGACCCGAAGCUGAUUGAGCUUACCAUGGCCAGGAUGAAGCGAAGGUAACACUUCGCGGAGGUCCGAACUAGUUUACGUUGAAAAGUGCUUGGAUGAGCUGUGGUAAGGGGUGAAAGGCCAAUCAAAUUCAGUAAUUGCUGGUUCUCCCCGAAAUAGCUUUAGGGCUAGCCUUGGAUAAAUUAGUAACGGGGGGUAGAGUACUAGAUGGGCUAGGGGGCCUACCAGCCUGCCGAACCCAAUUAAACUCCGAAUACCCGUUACCUUACUCCAGGAGACAGACAGCGAGGGAUAAGCUUCGUUGUCGAGAGGGAAACAGCCCAGACCGCCAGCUAAGGUCCCUAAAUUGAAACUAAGUGGUAAAGGAUGUGAAGAUUCAUAGACAACUGGGAUGUUGGCUUAGAGGCAGCCACCAUUUAAAGAGUGCGUAACAGCUCACCAGUCAAGAGUCUUCGCGCCGAAAAUGAUCGGGGCUCAAGUUUCGUACCGAAGCUGCGGAUUUACGAAUCUCUUCGGAGCAUUCGUGAGUGGUAGGGGAGCAUUCCCAACACGCUGAAGCCGUACCGUAAGGAGCGGUUGAGAGUUGGGAAGAGAUGAUGCCGGAAUGAGUAGCGAUUAAACGGGUGAAAAACCCGUUCGCCGUAAACCUAAGGUUUCCCGGGGAAGGUUAAUCCGCCCGGGGUUAGUCGGCCCUAAGGCGAGGCCGGUUAGGCGUAGCCGAUGGACAGCAGGUCAAAAUUCCUGCACCGCUUAACGAGCGUUUGAAUCUUAUGAGUGCGCAGUAGGCUAGACAAUCGCGUGAUUGGUUGUACGCGUCCAAACCCGUACCCUAUUCUGUAAUGGGAUAGGAGAGAGGUGUUAGGGAGCCCGACCGCGAGGAAGGGCGAACUUGUUCACGCCACGCUGCCGAGAAAAGCUCGUAAGAUGAGUUCGUUGAGUGUCCGUACUAUAAACCGACACAGGUGGGUAAGGAGAAAAUCCUAAGGCGCUCGAGUUAAUACUCUCUAAGGAACUAGGCAAAAUGGCCCCGUAACUUCGGAAGAAGGGGUGCCUCUGUAGGGUGAAGUUCCUGCGAAUGGAGCCCGAAGAGGUUGCAGUGAAAUGAGCCAGGCGACUGUUUAACAAAAACACAUCUCUCUGCUAAGUCGAUAAGACGACGUAUAGGGAGUGACACGUGCCCGGUGCUGGAAGGUUAAGGGGAGGCGUUAGUGCUGGCCGCAAGGCCGGUGCAAAGCAUCGAACUGAAGCCCCAGUAAACGGCGGCCGUAACUAUAACGGUCCUAAGGUAGCGAAAUUCCUUGUCGGGUAAGUUCCGACCUGCACGAAUCGUGUAACGAUCUGGCUGCUGUCUCAGAGAGUAACUCGGUGAAAUUGUAGUAGCGGUGAAGAUGCCGCGAUCCCGCGACUAGACGGAAAGACCCCGUGCACCUUUACUGUACCCUGGUAUUGGAUUUUGGUUUGAUUUGUGUAGCAUAGCCGGGAGACGUUGAAGCCCAGGCGCUAGUUUGGGCUGAGUCACAAUGUGAAAUACCGGUCUGAUUAAACUAAGGUUCUAACCUCAUUCCGUGAAUCCGGGUGGGGAACAGUGCCAGGCGGGCAGUUUGACUGGGGCGGUCGCCUCCCAAAUUGUAACGGAGGCGUUCAAAGGUUCUCUCAGUGCGGUUGGCAAUCGCACGUCGAGCGUAUAGGUAUAAAGAGAGCUUAACUGUGAGACCAACGAGUCAAACAGGUGCGAAAGCAGGACUAAGUGAUCCGGUGGUAGAGAAUGGAAUCGCCAUCGCUCAUCGGACAAAAGGUACGCCGGGGAUAACAGGCUUAUCGGAUCCAAGAGUUCAUAUCGACGAUCCGGUUUGGCACCUCGAUGUCGGCUCAUCGCAUCCUGGGGCUGGAGAAGGUCCCAAGGGUCCGGCUGUUCGCCGGUUAAAGCGGUACGUGAGCUGGGUUCAGAACGUCGUGAGACAGUUCGGUCCCUAUCUGUCGUGGGCGUAGGAGUUUUGAGGGAUUCCCUCUCUAGUACGAGAGGACCGAGAGAGACAGACCUCUGGUGUGACGGUUAUCCUGCCAAGGGUAAGAGCCGUGUAGCUAUGUCUGGAAAGGAUAAGCGCUGAAAGCAUCUAAGCGCCAAGCCUUCCCCAAGAUAAGAACUCCCAACUCGUCGCGAGACGGGUACUAAGGCCCCUGGAAGACUACCAGGUUGAUAGGCCGGAGGUGUAAGAGUGGUAACACUUUUAGCUCACCGGUACUAAUUGGCCGUUCGGCUUGACU
rnacentral:rRNA from 1 species